rnacentral:rRNA from 1 species
CCUACGGGUGGCAGCAGUGGGGAAUAUUGCGCAAUGGGCGAAAGCCUGACGCAGCGACGCCGCGUGAGGGAUGAAGGUCUUCGGAUCGUAAACCUCUGUCAGCAGGGAAGAACGGUCACUGUGUUAAUCAGCAGUGAAUUGACGGUACCUGCAAAGGAAGCACCGGCUAACUCCGUGCCAGCAGCCGCGGUAAUACGGAGGGUGCGAGCGUUAAUCGGAAUUACUGGGCGUAAAGCGCUCGUAGGCGGUAUGUCAAGUCAAGGGUGAAAUCCCCGCGCUCAACGUGGGAACUGCCUUUGAAACUGGCAGACUGGAGUGUGUGAGAGGAUAGUGGAAUUCCAGGUGUAGGAGUGAAAUCCGUAGAGAUCUGGAGGAACAUCAGUGGCGAAGGCGACUAUCUGGCACAUGACUGACGCUGAGGAGCGAAAGCGUGGGUAGCAAACAGGAUUAGAUACCCUGGUAGUC